CUUGGGGCCAGAUUUUAUUUCCUAGUUUUCCCUUUGCCUUCCUGGCUUUGGACAGAAUGUUUUUGCCUUUACUUUUCAGUCACUGUUUCCCUUUCCCUCUGUCCCAGUAUGGGCCUUCCUAACCAUUCCCCUCCAUCCCAAUAUGGACUUUCGUAAUGUAUAUUAAAAAAGUAUAAGAAUAUUCAACUCUGUUCCCAUGCUGGCUCCUCAAAUACCAGCCUACCCUUGGCUUUUGGACUCCAGACACAGCUCAGAUCAGACACCUACCCCUGGGUUACAUCCUUCAUGAUCAUCCAAAAACAGUUUCUAAUUUUAAAAUGUAUGAGGCAGAGUGCAACCCACUGCAUUUUAUUUUCCAGAUUUAUGGCCAUGUCGCCUUUAAGAUUAUCCUAAUUUUGGAUGCUGACAGUGAUAAAGUAAGGAGAAAAACUGAUAUACAUGUGAAGAGCAUUUCCAAUAUUGGAGACAACUUUCCCUGUACCAUGUGAUUCUCUCAACAAACAAAGACCUAUCAGAAUGGAGGGCUUAAGCUCUCUCCAUCCCUAGAAAGAGGGUGAAUUGAAGGGGAGGAAGAGAAAAACCAAUGGGGGCAAGACCAUUGCUCUGCCUGUUAGCUCCAUGUCAGAGCCACAUCUGUAUCCUGUGCCCAUGACGGUGUCUAGAACCUGGCAGGGUUUAAUGAAAGAAAUGUGCUGGUGGAAAAAAAAAAAAAAAAAAAGA